CUCCCUCUUUUCCUCAUGCUCUCUACACACACACACACACACACACACACACACACACACACACACACACACACACACACACACACACACACACACACACACACACACACACACACACACACACACACACACACACACACACACACACACACACACACACACACACACACACACACACACACACACACACACACACACACACACACACACACACACACACACACACACACACACACACACACACACACACACACACACACACACACACACACACACACACACACACACACACACACACACACACACACACACACACACACACACACACACACACACACACACACACACACACACACACACAAACACAUAUAUACAUAUAUUAUUACUAUGUAGAAUUAUGCUAAAAAGUUCUAGUCCUCACAAGAGUGAAUCCGGAAUAUUAGUUCUUUGGUGAUGUGAAGUUGCCACACACAACACUUGAUGUUGCCUUUUUCUUGCAUAUUCCCAUUUUUCCCCUCACCGUUUUUUUUAGACCAUUCCCACUUGGGCCUUUGUAAUUGGUGUGAUCCAAUUGUAAUUUCUAUGGAUCUCUUCUUACCACUUAUUGAUUAUUUUUGAGUUAAUACUCCCUUCAUGUUAAAUCAAUAAUCACUUUAACUCAAAAAAGUUAUCCUAAAA
rnacentral:lncRNA from 1 species